rnacentral:rRNA from 1 species
CAGCCGCCACGGUAAUACGUAGGUGGCAAGCGCUGUCCGGAAUUAUUGGGCGUAAAGGGCUCGCAGGCGGUUUCUUAAGUCUGAUGUGAAAGCCCCCGGCUCAACCGGGGAGGGUCAUUGGAAGCUGGGAAACUUGAGUGCAGAAGAGGAGAGUGGAAUUCCACGUGUAGCGGUGAAAUGCGUAGAGAUGUGGAGGAACACCAGUGGCGAAGGCGACUCUCUGGUCUGUAACUGACGCUGAGGAGCGAAAGCGUGGGGAGCGAACGGGAUUAGAUACCCCAGUAGUCCCUGUCUCUUAUAC